GACGAACGCUGGCGGCGUGCUUAACACAUGCAAGUCGAACGGGAAGGCCCUGCUUGCAGGGUACUCGAGUGGCGAACGGGUGAGUAACACGUGGGUGAUCUGCCCUGCACUUCGGGAUAAGCCUGGGAAACUGGGUCUAAUACCGGAUAGGAGCCAUUUUUAGUGUGAUGGUUGGAAAGUUUUUUCGGUGUAGGAUGAGCUCGCGGCCUAUCAGCUUGUUGGUGGGGUAAUGGCCUACCAAGGCGGCGACGGGUAGCCGGCCUGAGAGGGUGGACGGCCACAUUGGGACUGAGAUACGGCCCAGACUCCUACGGGGGGCAGCAGUGGGGAAUAUUGCACAAUGGGCGCAAGCCUGAUGCAGCGACGCCGCGUGGGGGAUGACGGCCUUCGGGUUGUAAACGCCUUUCGCUAGGGACGAAGCUUUUUGUGACGGUACCUAGAGAAGAAGCACCGGCUAACUACGUG
rnacentral:rRNA from 1 species